CCUAUGGACUUUAUGCCCUAGAAUGUGAAAUACCAAAUAAAAAAAAAAGAGCAACAAAGAGGAUUGGAAGAACUUACCAGUUUGGAGGCAGAGGCUACUUCUUCAAGUACGAACGAAGAAGAAGAACAAGAAUGGAGGUCAAACACUGUAGCUCAAAGGCGUCAAGAACGAAAGAGAGGCAGUAAGAAGAGAAAGUGAAGGGGAAAUGGCGUACUUAUAGGAGUGAAAGGGCGCCUAAAUUUGAAUAUGAAGGGACGCUUGGGUUGGCUGCCCGAGGCCAAUAAAUGCACGACGCGUGUUCAUAAUGGUAGCAGCGUCAGUUCUGAAGAGACAAGAUGGCAGGUUGAGGCAACGAUCGAGCAAGCCCAGAAACUGGGCAUGGAGAUUAGCGCGGUUAACAUCUUGCAAACUUGGGACCGAUGGAGAGUCUACCCCGGGCGGACCAUGUAAUCCCAGUCACGCUUGCGCGGACGGAAUUAAGGGGCAAUUGAGAGGGAGAUUUAUGAGCUGGAAUGGGCCAUGGUAAAGGCCGGGCAAAAUGAAGGGCCGAACAUGUUUGGGCCGUGAUAGCUUGUGCUAGUCCAGAUAAGGUUUUGCUCGGUUGAGGCCCAGGACCAUGUUGGGACCGAGCUACUUGGGCUUGUCUAGGUAGAAAACCGAGCUACUUGAGUUGCUCGGCCGAGAUGAUUGCCUGCCACGCUGGAUUCCACGGUUCAUGCGUUUAGCGCGGCAGGAAGGCCUUCGGUUUGCUGGCUCGGCCUAUCUUGAACUCAGCUUUGCCGAAAUGCAACCAAGCUCGGUCGUUCUAGAGCUCGGCGAGUGGAGCACUCGGGUACGUUGCGCAACGCGGUCGUGAAAGGCCGAGGUGGUUUCGCCGGUCUGCCGAGCUCUGCUAAUAUAGCUUGACGGUUUGGUUAUGUGGUGAUUGCAGGGUUUGUGCUGACAGAUGGGAGGGCAUCACCAUGUGUCAAGAGACUAAUGGGAGCAGAUUUGGGCACAGAAAGUAUAUAAGCGUGUCUGCGCCCCCCAUGCUAUGAUGGAACAUAAUUUGGUCGAUCGGACAAACAAGGAGCUUGGUAGAAAGGAGUACGGGCUCUGCGGAAUAUUUGCUCCCUGUACAUUUAUAGAGAUUCAGGCUGAGAUCGACAACAAGGGCUUGGACGAAUAUGGAGAAAUGAGGUCAUCAAUUUGAAGACAUCAAACAAAGGGCAAUGGAAUCUUUGGGUUGCAAUACAUUGUGCAAAAAGGGAAGUUUUGUAUUCGAGCUAAUUAAUUUAAUUCUCAUUCCCUACAAGCAA